rnacentral:rRNA from 1 species
UACGUAGGGAGCUAGCGUUGUCCGGAAUCAUUGGGCGUAAAGCGCGCGUAGGCGGCCCUGUAAGUCCGUUGUGAAAGUCAAAGGCUCAACCUUUGAAAGCCGAUGGAUACUGCAGGGCUAGAGUCCGGAAGAGGCGAGUGGAAUUCCUGGUGUAGCGGUGGAAUGCGCAGAUAUCAGGAGGAACACCAAUAGCGAAAGGCAGCUCGCUGGGACGGUACUGACGCUAAGGCG